UAGGGAAUCUUCCACAAUGGACGCAAGUCUGAUGGAGCAACGCCGCGUGAGUGAAGAAGGUUUUCGGAUCGUAAAGCUCUGUUGUUGGUGAAGAAGGAUAGAGGCAGUAACUGGUCUUUAUUUGACGGUAAUCAACCAGAAAGUCACGGCUAACUACGUGCCAGCAGCCGCGGUAAUACGUAGGUGGCAAGCGUGGUCCGGAUUUAUUGGGCUUAAAGCGAGCGCAGGCGGAAUGAUAAGUCUGAUGUGAAAGCCCACGGCUCAACCGGGGAACUGCAUCGGAAACUGUCAUUCUUGAGUGCAGAAGAGGAGAGUGGAAUUCCAUGUGUAGCGGUGGAAUGCGUAGAUAUAUGGAAGAACACCAGUGGCGAAGGCGGCUCUCUGGUCUGCAACUGACGCUGAGGCUCGAAAGCAUGGGUAGCGAACAGG
rnacentral:rRNA from 1 species